UAGAAUUCAUUGAGUUCGAGAUUUCAAACAUGUCUACCGCGUUAAUGGCUUAUUUAGUGUGAAAUAAUCGUUAAUAUUUCGACAAAAAUGUGGUUUAUUUAUAUAUAAAUAGAAUGGGACAGUUUAGAAAUGGGUUGACUCUUAAAUAAUCGAGAUAAAGUCGUUUAUAUAAACCCCGUUUUUUUUUUUUUUUUUUUUUUUUAACUUUGCCAGACGACAUGCUACCGUCGUCCGGUUACUUUCAAAGCGUUAUUUGUCCGUUUUUUAACAGUGGAUUGUGCGAAAGGCCCCAUUGCCACUUCAGACACGUCAAGAAAGAGACAUUUGGAAAAUCAACAUUUAAUACGUUAAUUGAUGAAUCCCUUAUUCGAAAUGCUAGAGAAGAUGGAAGAGAGCCAGAUAUACUUGAAAUGGUGGAUAAUGCUAUUAAACAAGCAGAGCGUGACGUAGAACGAAAUAAAGCUGUACUUGAGGCUACCAGUGCAUUAAGUAGCAAGCAAUAUGAAAGUGUUGCUCCGGUUAUUUAUAUUCCAACUCCAAAGUCAUCUGUUCCUACAUCUAGAUCUGUAUCCCAUGUUGAACCAAAGAUUUCAAAGAGCUCUUCUAUUCCUCAGUAUCAUCCCACACCUAUUUCAAAAUUGAAGAAAUUGCAAAAACAGUAUGAUCCAGUAAAUAAUUUUUCAACGCCAGUGCAACCUGUAAAAAGAAAAAAACAUAGUGAAUAUAAAAUUUCUGAAGCUAAAUAUAUAAUAAGUGGUAAAGAAUCUUCUGAGGAAGAUGAUGGUUACAUACCAAAAAAAGUUAAUUUAAGUGAAAAUAAAGAAGUAGAUAUACAAAAAGAAAUUUGCAAAUUUUCUGAAAGUGAUGAUGAUCAAGAUAUAACGGCAGAGUUUAGUGCUAAUGAUAGCGAUGGUGAGAAAGAUGAUAUACCAAAUAUAAGUGAGAGCAAUAAAUCAGUUGAUAUACAAAAUAAAUUAUUGGUAUCAGAUAUACAAACUAAUAAUACGUUAAAUAGUCAAACAGAAGAAAAAUCUCCUGUAAAUAAAGCAAUAAAUGAGUUCAGUUUAGUAGAUAAAAUAUUGUUAGAAAGUAAAAAAUGUGAAGAAAUUAUUAAUAAUUCAAAAAAUAAAACAGAUAUAAUUUUGUCUAAUAAAUUAAGUAUUGACAAGAGUGACAAAAUUAUAAACAACAGCAAAAUACAUAAUGAAAAAAGUCAUAAUCUCAAUAAAGUAAAACAUAAAACGGAAAGACAUGAUGAAACUGAUAUUAAAUCUAAAACAUUAAUAAAGAAAAAAUCAGAAACUGAUGAGUCUCUGCAGAAGAAAAAUCAUUCUGAUAGUAAAUUGAAUAAAGAAAAGAAAUCUGAUAAACAUGUCGAGAAAACGGUUAAAUUAAAAACUGAUAAAGCACAAAAACUUCCUGUCACAGAAGCAAAGCAUAAAGAAAAAACUAAAUCUCAUUCAUUUUUGAAGGACACUGAAGUGAAUUCAGUUGCAAAAUCUAGCAAUAAAAAACAUGCUGAAGACUCAAAAACUAGAAAAGAUGUUUCAAAUCAUAAAAGUCCAAGGAGAGAUAGGUCUGUAAGUAUAUCAAGUAAUGACGUAUCAGAUGAUACAAAAAUAAAAGAAAUAAAAACUGAGAAAAAUUCAAAGAAAAUAACAGAAGGAAACACUAAAAUUUCUAAAUCUGAAGCUGAAAGUAAAGGAAAGGAAGCAAAAGAAAAUAGCAAAGCUUCCAAAUCUGAAAACAAAGGAAAAGAAAUAAAAGGUGAGAAAAAUUCAAAGAAGAAAUUAGAAGAAAGUAAAUCCUCGAAACAUGCAGGAAAGUCAAAAAGUAGUGAAAAAAUUGAAUCAUCUCAUAAAAAAUCUAAGUCAAAAGAUACGUCUAAGACUGAUAAAAAGGAAAAUGAAAAUGAAGUUGACAGCUGUAAUUUUUCUAAUACUAAUUUUGAUAUCUCUGAUGUUGCAAUAGAUCUUGAUAGUGAUUUAGAUGAACAUGAUACAUAUGAAGAAUGCUGGAAGAUAUUUAAUGAAGAGAAUGAAAAAAAAGAUCCUCUAUCGGAAGAAGCUAAUUUAAAUAAAAUUCGUCAAAUAGAAGAAUCUAAAGUGAAAGAUGAAGAAAUAGUCAUAUUAGGAAAAAAACGUGUUGCACAUCAACCAUCUCUUUCAAGAACUGUUUCAAAUGUAACUACUACACGUUUGUCACCGGGCCAAGUUCUACAUAAUAGGUAUUCUAAAUUACAAGAGAUGUAUCGUAAUGCAGACAAGACCGAAGAAAAGAAGGCAAAUAGUGCAUUUUUAAGCCGACUAACACAGUUUGAAGUUGGUAAGAAAAGAAUUGCUCAUGUUCCAAAUGCAUCUCUUUUGGUAGCAGCUGCUGAGAGACAAAAGUUAUUGAAUAAAACUCUCACUGUUACUGCUUCUACUAGUGCAACCACAGCAACGACUGUGGCAAAGGGAGAAAGAAGGAUAGCUCAUGUUCCCAUAAUGCUUAAAAGUAAAAGACCAGUCAUUCCUGCUGAAUAUGGAAGUAAAGUGCCUUGUAACAUUCGGCAGCGGUAUCUGGAAAACUUUAUUGAUGAAUGCUUGAAAUUUUGUGAAAAUGAAGAGCAGGCAUUUCAAGUUGCUCUUGAAGAAGAAAAGAAUGCCUAUAACAGAAGUUCAAAUAAAACUGUUUACUUAAAUGUUGCAGUGAAUACACUUAAAAGACUUAGAAAUAAAAGACCAAUAAUAGAUAUUAAUUCUGAAGAUAAUUUGGAAAGUAAGAGAUCAAAAUUAGUUGAUAGUAAUUUAAAUAAGACUAUUUCACAUGAAUAUGUUUUGGGUGGACCAAAAGCUGCAAAAACCAGCUUUAGUAUUGAAAGAAGAAAAGUAGUAAAAAUUGAUGAUGACAUAAAGGGCAAAAAACUAUACAAUUUAUUGAAACCUUAUAUUAUGACUGAGAAGCAGUUAGAGGAAAAUGGUUUUCCACGCUUGGAUCCAGCUAAUCCAGGAAAAGCAAUUAUUACAAAUUCUUACCAGAAAAAGCCAGUUUGCAAUAAUCCUUUAGAAAGAACCUGCUGUCGUUGUCAAACAAAAUAUCGAGUAACGGUGAAAGGAAAAUAUGUUAAAGAAGAAGAAUGUAUUUAUCAUUGGGGUCGUUUAUGGAAACGGAGAAUUGCAGGAGCUAUUGAGAGUAGAUAUUCCUGUUGCCAAGGUGAUUCUUUAUCAGAUGGAUGCUGUGUUGCUAAGGUAGGGCCAUGUGUUUGAAAAUAAUGAAACAGAAAAUUUGUCUGGUUAUGUGAAAACAUUGAUUAAAUCUCCUCCACCUGAUGACAAUUACGGAACCUAUGCAUUGGAUUGUGAAAUGUGUUAUAGUACAGCUGGUGUAGAAUUGGCAAGGAUUACAGUAAUUGGUCCAGAUCUGAAACCUGUAUAUGAAACAUUAGUUAAACCAGAACAUGAGAUUUUGGACUUAAAUACUCG
rnacentral:misc_RNA from 1 species